AUGUUGUGGACGCUCUGGACCCUGGGAGAAAGGGGACAGGUGGCAGGGGGGCGUUCCCCAUCUCCUGCAGCUUCACUUGUCCUGGCCCAGACUCCAGUGCUGGUGCAGGAAACUCACUGCUGCCCUCUUCCCCCUCAGGGCUCCCCAGGCAGAGGGAGGAGGCCACGGGCUGCAGGGGCAAGCGCAGGAGAAGCCCCAGUGUGUCCCCUCGUCGCCCCCACCCACAAGAUGCAGAGCGCGAAGACAGGAAGAAGGCACGGAGGUCCCCAGCCCCAGAGAGAGGAAAGCCCUGGUCUGGGUCUCCCCGCGGGGGACGUCCUAGCAGAGGAGGCUCUGCACGCAGGAAUUGGCGCCUGCAGGAGAAGCACACACAGCGCAGACCCCCAGAGAGGAUCCGCACCCGGGGACGCCGCUCACACAUCCCUGAGGACCCACGCAGCUCUCGAAGUCUCCGCAGACACCCGUCGGCCCACCACAGCCCACCACAGACUUCUCAGGAGCUGGGCCGACCCUCCUCCCACCUGGGCGCGCUGGAAGUGGGCCUGGAAGAGCUGCAGGCUCCAGGGGGUGCAUUCCUGCCCAUGGGCGGCCGCGGCGGGGAGCCCAGGGCCUCACAGCGCGCCUGGCUCUCCUGGCAGCUGGCACACGCGGGGGCUGCCCUGCACUGGGCGCUCGCCACGCUCGAAGCCCUGCUGCAGCCACAGCCCUGAAUCGUGGGCUCCCCGCACUCUACUCCCAUGCCCUGUGGCCUUAGGGGGCAGUAGGAAGGGCUGCAGCCUCCCCUGGGUGGCACCCUUCUCUGGCCCAGAGUCAGGCAUUGUCUGCCUCCCAAAUUCAGUGUCAGGAGAGUGGAGGGCGUCACAACACAGAGACACCAGGAGCUCACAGCAGAUGCAAAUCCCACCUGUCCUCCUUAUUCAGCAGCAGGUGCUCCUGGCUCCCCCAUGAGGUCACACCCAGCACCAUGCACCAGGACUGCUUCCAGUUCCAGGCUCCCGACGGAAAUACCCACUUCCGAGAGGCAUCUGACCUCCUUGGAAUUGGACCUUUCCUGUAUUUUGGAGACUCCUUGGGUUCUUCAGAUGAAACACUCAGUAAAUAGAUGCAUAUCAGUGCCUGGUACUGGCAUGGACCUGUGUGAGUUCCCGUGUGUGUAUGUAGGUAGAGAGAGAGACAUUAGAUUUAUAUUCCUGGUUUCAUUGCCCUGCAAGGACCGUCCUGGUGCAGGGUUUCUCUACUUGUGACUUUCUCCCUGGUGGCCACAGGGCACCUCCCCGGAUCCCACUGGAAGUCCCAGGAGCCAACUGGAUCUUUGGGGAAAUGUUAUUGUUGAGAGGGAAACACGGCCCUGUAUGAAACAUGAUUGUGUUCUCCAUGUGGAGCAAUAAAUUUCCCUCACAUUUCA
ensembl:lncRNA